UAGCCUGCCCAGUGACAUUAAAGUUUAACGGCCGCGGUAGCAUGACCGUGCUAAGGUAGCAUAAUCAUUUGUCCUUUAAUUGAGGACUGGUAUGAACGGCUGAACAAGAAAUCAACUGUCUCUGCUAUAAAUUUUGAAAUUGACAUUUAAGUGAAAAGGCUUAAAUGAGAUAGGGGGACGAUAAGACCCUAUAAAUCUUGAUGAUUAAGAUAAUAAAUUUUAGGCAGUAGUAAUAAGUUUAAAUUUAAUGUCCUUAAUUAUUUUGUUGGGGCGACAGGAGUAUAAGAAGUAACUGCUUUGGAAAAAAUAAUUAAUUAUUUUUAUGAUGUUUUGUUUGUGAUCCUUCUAUGAAGAUAAUAGAUCAAGUUACUUUAGGGAUAACAGCGUAAUCUUUCUUGAGAGUCCAUAUCGAAAGAAGGGGUUGCGACCUCGAUGUUGAAUUAAAGAGCCUUUGUGGUGUAGCAGC
rnacentral:rRNA from 1 species